ACUGAGGGUGUCACCCGGGACCGCGGCUCAGGAACCCCACACGCACGGGCCUUGUGCUGUCGCUGCCGUGGCACCCCUUCUAGAAGAAGUGGGAGCCUUGGACAACUGAACGCCUAUCUCUAGCUCAAGAAAUGUCAGCUCUUUUUUUUUUUUUUUUUUUUGAGACUGUCACCCAGUUGGGAGUACAGUGGCGCCAUCUUGGCUCUCUGUAACCUCCACCUCCUGGGUUCAAGCGAUUCUCCUGCCUCAGCCUCCUGAGUAGCUGGGCCUACAGUCGUGAAGGGGCCUCGUGACUGGGCCUCAUGCCAAACAACUCAUUACAAAAGGAGCUAUGGUCCCAGACCACACCGAAGCUUCAUGAGACCUCUCCUCAUCUGUGCACGGGCAAGUGUCUGACUCUGGAGCCCAGGCUGUUGCUUUCCAGUCUGGUGGUGAAUCCUUCACAGUCUGAAAAUCUAGGUAUCUUGCACCAAGAAGUGGAAAAUAAAGAAGAGAAAUGAGAACCAUGUUUGUAUUGGCUGUCUAUAAAAUAAGAGUUCUAGGUACAUGAAAUCCACUGGU
rnacentral:antisense_RNA from 1 species